rnacentral:rRNA from 1 species
GCCCAGACUCCUACGGGAGGCAGCAGUAGGGAAUUUUGCGCAAUGGGGGAAACCCUGACGCAGCAACGCCGCGUGAUUGAUGAAGCCCUUCGGGGUGUAAAGAUCUGUCAGUGGGGACGAAACUUGACGGUACCCACAGAGGAAGCACCGACUAACUACGUGCCAGCAGCCGCGGUAAUACGUAGGGUGCGAGCGUUAAUCGGAAUUACUGGGCGUAAAGGGUGUGCAGGCGGCUGAGUAAGACAGAUGUGAAAUCCCCGGGCUUAACCUGGGAACCGCAUAUGUGACUGCUUGGCUAGAGUGCGUCAGAGGGAGGUGGAAUUCCACGUGUAGCAGUGAAAUGCGUAGAUAUGUGGAAGAACACCGAUGGCGAAGGCAGCCUCCUGGGACGCAACUGACGCUCAUACACGAAAGCGUGGGGAGCAAACAGGAUUAGAUACCCCAGUAACC